AUUGAACGCUGGCGGCAGGCCUAACACAUGCAAGUCGAACGCGUGGCGGACAGGUGAGUAAUGUCUGGGGAACUGCCUGAUGGAGGGGGAUAACUCCUGGAAACGGUAGCUAAUACCGCAUACUAUCGGCUGAGCCCAUAUGGGAUUAGCUAGUAGGUGGGGUAAAGGCUCACCUAGGCGACGAUCCCUAGCUGGUCGGAGAGGAUGACCAGCCACACUGGAACUGAGACACGGUCCAGACUCCUACGGGAGGCAGCAGUGGGGAAUAUUGCACAAUGGGCGCAAGCCUGAUGCAGCCAUGCCGCGUGUAUGAAGAAGGCCUUCGGGUUGUAAAGUACUUUCAGCGGGGAGGCGUUACCCGCAGAAGAAGCACCGGCUAACUCCGUGCCAGCCGCCGCGGUAAUAC
rnacentral:rRNA from 1 species